rnacentral:rRNA from 1 species
UACGUAGGGGGCAAGCGUUAUCCGGAUUUACUGGGUGUAAAGGGAGCGUAGACGGUGAGACAAGUCUGAAGUGAAAGCCCGGGGCUCAACCCCGGGACUGCUUUGGAAACUGCCUGACUGGAGUGCUGGAGAGGCAAGCGGAAUUCCUAGUUUAGCGGUGAAAUGCGUAGAUAUUAGGAAGAACACCAGUGGCGAAGGCGGCUUGCUGGACAGUAACUGACGUUGAGGCUCGAAAGCGUGGGGAGCAAACAGG